rnacentral:sRNA from 1 species
AUGGCGGAUCCAGCAGCCCCCACGCCCGCAGCUCCAGCUCCCGCCCAGGCCCCGGCUCCAGCCCCGGAGGCAGUCCCGGCCCCAGCCGCAGCCCCCGUCCCGGCGCCCGCCUCGGACUCGGCCUCCGGGCCGUCCUCGGACUCCGGCCCAGAAGCCGGCUCGCAGCGCCUGCUGUUUUCUCACGACCUGGUGUCGGGCCGUUACCGUGGCUCCGUGCACUUCGGGCUGGUGCGCCUCAUCCACGGCGAGGACUCGGACUCGGAGGGCGAGGAGGAGGGCCGCGGGAGCUCGGGGUGCUCCGAGGCCGGGGGCGCGGGCCACGAGGAGGGCCGGGCCAGCCCGCUGCGCCGCGGCUACGUGCGCGUCCAGUGGUACCCGGAGGGCGUCAAGCAGCAUGUGAAGGAGACCAAGCUGAAACUAGAGGACCGUUCUGUGGUGCCCCGAGAUGUGGUCCGGCACAUGCGAUCCACCGACAGUCAGUGUGGCACGGUGAUCGACGUCAACAUCGACUGUGCCGUCAAGCUCAUCGGCACCAACUGCAUCAUCUAUCCCGUCAACAGCAAGGACCUGCAGCACAUCUGGCCCUUCAUGUAUGGGGACUACAUUGCCUAUGACUGCUGGCUGGGGAAGGUCUACGACUUGAAGAACCAGAUCAUCCUGAAGCUAUCCAACGGCGCCAGGUGCUCCAUGAACACGGAAGAUGGCGCCAAGCUCUACGACGUCUGCCCGCACGUCAGCGACUCGGGUCUCUUCUUUGAUGAUUCCUAUGGCUUCUACCCAGGCCAGGUGCUCAUUGGCCCUGCCAAGAUCUUCUCCAGCGUCCAGUGGCUGUCAGGUGUCAAGCCCGUGCUCAGCACCAAGAGCAAGUUCCGAGUGGUGGUGGAAGAGGUGCAGGUUGUAGAGUUGAAAGUUACAUGGAUUACCAAGAGUUUCUGUCCAGGGGGCACAGACAGCGUCAGCCCCCCACCCUCUGUCAUCACCCAGGAAAACCUAGGCAGGGUGAAGCGUCUCGGAUGCUUUGACCAUGCUCAGCGGCAGCUUGGGGAGCGCUGUCUGUAUGUCUUCCCAGCCAAGGUAGAGCCAGCCAAGAUUGCCUGGGAAUGUCCAGAAAAAAACUGCGCCCAGGGGGAGGGCUCUAUGGCCAAGAAGGUGAAGCGCCUGUUGAAGAAGCAGGUUGUGCGGAUCAUGUCAUGCUCCCCAGACACCCAGUGUUCCCGGGACCAUUCCAUGGAAGACCCAGACAAGAAGGGGGAAUCCAAAACCAAGAGCGAAGCGGAGUCCGCCAGCCCUGAGGAGACGCCCGAUGGCUCUGCCAGUCCAGUGGAGAUGCAGGAUGAGGGUGCAGAGGAGCCCCACGAAGCAGGAGAGCAGCUGCCCCCAUUCCUGCUAAAAGAAGGCAGAGAUGACAGGCUGCACUCGGCAGAGCAGGACGCAGAUGAUGAGGCUGCUGACGACACGGACGACACCAGUUCGGUGACCUCCUCUGCCAGCUCCACCACUUCCUCCCAGAGUGGCAGCGGCACGAGUCGCAAAAAGAGCAUCCCCUUGUCCAUCAAGAACUUAAAGCGCAAACACAAGAGGAAGAAGAAUAAAAUCACUCGAGACUUCAAGCCAGGGGACAGGGUGGCAGUGGAGGUGGUGACCACGAUGACCUCAGCCGACGUGAUGUGGCAGGAUGGCUCCGUGGAAUGCAACAUCCGCUCCAACGACCUCUUCCCUGUGCACCACCUGGACAACAACGAGUUCUGCCCCGGAGACUUCGUGGUAGAUAAACGAGUCCAGAGCUGUCCAGACCCUGCUGUCUAUGGUGUGGUACAGUCUGGGGACCACAUCGGCCGUACCUGCAUGGUGAAGUGGUUCAAGCUGAGGCCGAGUGGGGACGACGUGGAGCUGAUUGGAGAAGAGGAAGAUGUGAGUGUUUACGACAUUGCUGACCACCCUGACUUUAGGUUCCGUACAACUGACAUCGUCAUCCGCAUCGGCAAUACUGAGGAUGGGGCUCCUCACAAGGAGGAUGAGCCAUCGGUGGGCCAGGUGGCCCGUGUGGACGUCAGCAGCAAGGUGGAGGUGGUGUGGGCUGACAACUCAAAGACCAUCAUCCUGCCCCAGCACUUGUACAACAUCGAGUCUGAGAUUGAGGAGUCAGACUACGAUUCGGUAGAAGGCAGCACCAGCGGGGCAUCCUCGGAUGAAUGGGAAGAUGAUAGUGACAGCUGGGAGACGGACAAUGGGCUGGUGGAGGACGAACACCCCAAGAUAGAGGAGCCCCCCAUCCCACCCCUGGAGCAGCCGGUGGCCCCUGAGGAGGACAAGGGAGUGGUGAUCAGUGAAGAGGCAGCCACAGCUGCCGUCCAGGGGGCUGUGGCCAUGGCUGCCCCCAUGGCCGGGCUGAUGGAGAAGGCUGGCAAGGACGGGCCACCCAAGAGCUUCCGGGAGUUGAAAGAGGCCAUCAAGAUCCUGGAGAGCCUCAAGAACAUGACUGUGGAGCAGCUGCUGACGGGCUCGCCCACCUCUCCGACUGUGGAGCCUGAGAAGCCAACUCGGGAGAAGAAGUUUCUGGAUGACAUCAAGAAGCUACAGGAAAACCUCAAGAAGACCCUGGACAAUGUGGCCAUUGUAGAGGAGGAGAAGAUGGAAGCAGUGCCCGACGUAGAGCGCAAGGAGGACAAGCCCGAGGGGCAGUCACCUGUGAAGGUUGAGUGGCCCAGCGAAACCCCGGUGCUCUGCCAGCAGUGUGGCGGCAAGCCUGGCGUCACCUUCACCAGCGCCAAGGGCGAGGUCUUCUCCGUACUGGAGUUUGCACCCUGUGAGUCAGCCCUUGCCUGGUCUUUGCCUUCCCCCGCCUUCUCGGGGCUCCUGUUUGUGUCACCAGAUCUGGGUGCAGGGUGGUUAGUCCCCUCGCCAGACCCCAGCUACUGCCCCAGGGCAAACCAUUUCCCUGUGUGGUCACAGUGCUGAGGCCAGCAGCGGCGAGUGGGAAGUCUGUGGGUGUGCUCACCUGUCCAGCCAGGUUGGCAGAUGGAGCUCCAGGGCCUCUCCAUGAGGGACUGACUAUUCUCUUCCCCCCUCUAGCAAAUCAUUCUUUUAAGAAAAUUGAGUUCCAGCCUCCAGAAGCCAAGAAGUUCUUCAGCACAGUGCGGAAGGAGAUGGCGCUGCUGGCUACCUCACUGCCUGAGGGCAUCAUGGUCAAGACUUUUGAAGAUAGAAUGGCAAGUAGGCUUGGCAUGGGCAGGUGCAGAUGUGCUGUGUGGGCACCCAGUGCCCAAGAGGCCACCAACCUUGGGUCCCCAAACCUCCGGGGCUGACUGGCACCUGCGAGGACACUCACCCACCCACCUUUUACAGGGGCGGUCACAGGCUCAGUCAGGUGAGGGCUGACUCAGCCGUGUGUCCAGGCCAGAUGGUUCUUUCUUUCCUCCCUCCUUUAAAAAAUUACUUUCUCGGCUGGGCGCGGUGGCUCACACCUGUAAUCCCAGCACUUUGGGAGGCCGAGGUGGGUGGAUCAUGAGGUCAGGAGAUCGAGACCAUCCUGGCUAACACAGUGAAACCCCGUCUCCACUAAAAAUAAAUAAAUAA